rnacentral:rRNA from 1 species
UACGGAGGGUGCGAGCGUUGUCCGGAAUCACUGGGCGUAAAGGGCGCGUAGGCGGCGCGGAUAGUCGGCGGUGAAAGCCCGGAGCUCAACUCCGGGUCGGCCGUCGAUACUUCCGGGCUUGAGCACUGUAGAGGCAGAUGGAAUUCCGGGUGUAGCGGUGGAAUGCGUAGAGAUCCGGAAGAACACCGGUGGCGAAGGCGGUCUGCUGGGCAGUUGCUGACGCUGAUGCGCGACAGCGUGGGGAGCAAACGAGGAUUAGAAACCC